rnacentral:piRNA from 1 species
UGCACAGGUACAAAGCAACAGAUCUGCAGAA